GAAAUGUUUGCCUACCCCAAAGUCAGAAAGAUAUUCUGUUAUGUUUUCUUCUAGAAGCUUUUAAUUUCAGUUUUUAUGAUGAGAUUUA